UUACAUAGGGCUUGCAUAUGUGUUUUCCUGGAUGUUUCCCAGGUCUGCUGCUGGUACCUCCUUGAAGAAAAAGUGCCUUUAUUGUAAGAACCAGCCAGCUGAAGAUGUUAUGGAGGUGAUGGAUGUGAAGGCAGGAGGAAGCCCUGCCCUGGAGGGUCUGCCUGGAGCCUCCUGGUGACACUCUGGAAUCGCAGCCAGCAGGAAAACUUGGCAGAGCUUUGCUGUGCCUCAGCCCUGCCCUGCUUCUGCAGGGCUGAUUGAUCAGCCCAGGGCUGCAGAAAUUGGGGUGAGGGAUUCAUUAGCCUGGGAUCAGCCCUCAGCACUGGAUACUCUGCUCGCUUGAAAAUAGGUAAUUAAUGGUGCUUUAUUUUUCACGUUUCCAAGGCAACACAAACCCCCAAGACAUUGUUUUCCAGACCAUGAACUGAUGCUUUUGGCUGCUGCAGAAGCUGCCCCAUCUCGUCUGAAGCUGCUGAAAAGCCUCUGCCAGUGCCUUGAUGUUCUCCCCCCACAAGGGAAUUAAUGUCUGGGAAGCAAUGGAGAGCACAGCACAAAGAGCAGGCAUGGUCCAGACCUCACAGGACUAAUUAUGCUCUUAAAGGGACUGAGUUGCUAAUCUGGGAUGGUCACAGGAGCUGCAAGAUGCAGGAUUAUCCCUUGCUGCCUCUCCACCUUUUCUUCCUGCACUUACCCAAUGCCAGCUUGUUUUUUGUCAACUCACUGGAGAAACAAGACAAUUCUAUUAAUGCAAAUUACCCUGAGCUGCAUUAACAUGACAGGAGGAAGAAAGAGAGCUCAGUUUAAAGGAAGAAUAAUCUGGACACUGGAGGAGGCAGAGCAAGGCAGGAGUGCCCACCUACAACCAUCUGACA